rnacentral:lncRNA from 1 species
GAUGUCAAUGUGUUGUAAGUUUUCACUUGUGAAAACAAUUACAUGUUCAUUCAACAGUUGAUUGAAUACUCUGUAUAAAAACGAAAAGUAAAUUAUAUAAUUUGCAGAAUUUAUGUUGCACAACUGGCAACACAAGGGAAGCUCUUGCUUUGGUUUCAUUGUAGUUUUAGAAACUGUGGGUUGAUAUUUGAUUACUGGUUAUGCAUAUUGUAUUUGGACUCUGUCAAAGAAAACUAGGUGCCGCUACAAGUUACUGGUUCUUCCAAGCAUCCGCAGUUGGUACAUCAGGCAUAAUAUUUAGAUUAGUAAGUCACCUCGAACUUAUUCGCAAAAUAAGAUUAAUGUUCAUACGAACCUCUUCCAACUAAUGAAUGUCUGCCUUGAAAUUUAGGUUUUCUUUCGAAAUAGAUUGUUUGCUUUUAUUGCCUGUCUUUGUCUCAUCUGACAUUCUCUUGGUUGUCUAGGUUGGUUCCAUUGCUGUGUUUGUAACGAGAUAUAGAGGUAUGAUCAGAGAUGCCAAAGAAGAUCUGCAACAAAGCACAAGUUAUUUCCACAAACCCAGUUUGAUUCUAAGUUUUCGCUACUCUAUGUUUGAGAACCUAAAACCAUAUAAUUAACUAUCAAAAAACCCGUCUCAUACAUACCACAUGCAGUUCCUAGAGUUUGAUGCAGCAGUUUACUGGUCUGUAGGUCCUGCAUGGAAGUAUGAAUCUAUGGCCAGCAAUGGCCAAAGAAUAUUCUCAGACUGAAAACCAUUUUUUACCUUACUGACAGAAAGCUGAAACCUCGAUGAACCAGUGUAAGUAUUGACAAUUGUGACAGGCUCUGAUUUAAAUUGGUUGUGGCUAUACUAUAUGCAAAGUAUAGCAAGGGGUUUGCAAGGUAGAAGUGAAUUCUAAUCGAACCAGUGAUUUACCAGAAAUAAUCGAAGGGAUAUUGUUGAUUUCCCUAGCUAUAUUCUGAUACAUCACUGACCGUUCAGAGUUCACCACCAUUUCUGUAUUGCAAUUUAGCAAAACAAUCUGUUUUCUG